CACCCUGGUGCGUGGCGAGCACUCGUUGGAAUAGGGGAAGUUAAAGAAAGAGCAAGAGAGCAAGAGAGGAAAGAGAAGAUCUCGUACGGACCCGUCCGGGAAAGGGGACGAGGUCUAGUCGCUCGCCGGUACCGGCCGAGGAUGGGGGCGGUUCCGUUUAGCGCCCCCUCCCGGUGGUGCGCGGUACAGGAAGGUGGGUGCACUCUCCUUUGGUACCAUCCCACGAGGUGCACAGCACGUGGCUGGCACGACGCUGUCCCCUUCCCAUGUGUGCGGCCACUACCGCAUGGGGGCGCGCGUUGACCGCUCACCACCUCGACCAGAGGCCGAUGCCACCUCAACGUUCGCCGUUCCCCGUUUCGACGUUGGCCGUUCGCCGCCUCGACCUUGGCCGGACUCUUCCUCGACCUUUGUAAACUGAAAAAACGACCUUCCGAGAAGUCUCGAUGCUACUACCUUGUUGUGUGAAAAAACGACCUUCAGUACAAAGAAAAACGACCUUCGCAGUGAAACCUAACGAUGACAGCUACGUAGUGCUGCUCGCCGUCUCGAAGUAUAGACGUUACCCCUGUUCUCUUUUCGAUGCUGUCAACUCCCUUUUUCGAUGUUGGUCACAAAAAAACGACAGUGGCUACACACCAAAAGAAAGUGACCCUGCAUGCUGGACACCACCGCCUGCCGGCAGCGGCCGUCGUGCCACUACGGAGCUCGCUGCUUCGCAGCCCCGCUCUAAGCUGCCGCUCGUAGUCCCCGGUCACGCCGCUGGGCGCCACUGCCCGCUCGCGCGCUCCCACUCACGAAGCUCCAGCCAACACACGAGCAAGUACUUCUCAGGCUCAUCCUUCUUGCUCGUCCCCCCCUCUUUGUUCUAGCACGCCGAUGCUUCGCGAAAAUAGCACGCCAGGACCACACUGGCCGGGUUUCAACCCGGCCGCGCGGCCGCGGAUAAUCGAGGGUAGUUGGUUUGUUGAAUUUUAGGAGAUCUUAACUCUACUGGUAGUGUAAAGUGAGGAUCUAAAAGGGAUAAGGGCACAUAAAUCUCAGGGCGCUUAGUUUCUCCUGGAUCUACUUCUAUUUUGAAUUUCGAGAGGCCAGAACCAACUCAGCGGCUCUUCAAAGUAUGAAGGAAGCUCUUGUUAUUCAUAGCGUCAAAAAUUGUGGUUCGGGAAAAGUAAGAUACGAACAUCGAGGCACAAGUAGCAUGACUUUAUACGGUCCCUAUUACAGAACAUGUCGUUCCUUUGUCGCUGGGGAGUCUUAAGUCUAUGUGCUUGCUUUGGAACUCUCAUGCUCCAGGCAUGCAUACAUGUACACGUGUAUCAUGGAUGCACACGCACAUGGACUGCUAGAGAACGCCGAGACACAGUCUGAGAGCUGCAGUGCUCGUGGGUGGCUAGCCGUUCAAGAGCCACCACCGGCGCGCCAAGACGCGCGCCGCGGGCUGCCGCAAGUGGCACCGGUUCUGGCCGACCGGCACCCCGGCGCUGGACUGGCAGUGCCUGCGGUCGCCGCGCCGCCACUACGCCCACCUGCCCAGGAAGGAGAAGCCGGCGAGGCAGGAGGACCUGCGGCGCAGCGCGGGGCACGAGUGGCACGUCGCGGCCGGCAGGGACAAGCUCCGGGCGGCCUGCACCUUCCGCAAGUUCCCCCUGUCGUGCUCGAGGCUGCUGGACGAGAAGAGGCGGCAGCACGCCGGAAGCGACUGGUUGUGCCCCCUGUAGGUGCACGUGGAGCUGCCGCUCUCCGCGGCGCUGAAGCAGCCGCAAGCGGGGACCAUGGCGCCCUGACUGACGCGGUAGUGGGUGCGGCCGCGGUGGCAACGGGUCUAGCUUUCGAGCCCCCCUAAGAACUCAGGCCGCUUCAUACUGCAGGCACAGUUGCUUCCGCAGAUGGUACGAAAGCAGGACCCGGAGUGGCACCAAGACCUCCCAUAUGCAGAGCUGCUGCGGCUUGUUCUCUCCAGUGCUCGAUCUUUAUUAUUUUCCUGACACGAUAAAGUGCGAGCGAAAGGUGACUAAAAAAAGGAAGAAAGUUUUUGGCAUUAUUUAGCGAUU
rnacentral:rRNA from 1 species